CACACACCCCAAGGCAUUUCUGCUUGGCUCGCCAGGGACUGCACAUAAACUGCAUGUGUUGUAAAGAGCGGUGGCACGUUGUACAAGUUGUAUGCACUUGACGUGCAAGUCUGGAAGAGAAGGGAAGCUCCAGGCGGCGCUUCCAAGAAAGAAGGGACGGUUGUGUGUGCUCUCCGGGGUACAUGAAAAGAACAAAAUGUUACCUGCGGGUUUUAGGACAACGUUGUAGGGUUCCCUUUAGGGGUGCAAGGGAGCUGGACUGCAAAGAAAGUUGCUUAUUCUGAAGGCGGUUCUAGGUGCUGGAAGUGGAAGUAAAAGUGCAAAGCUCGGGCUCUGAUAAAGUGGCUGGUUUAGGGAAGGAAAAGCUGUGAUUAGAAUAUGAAUAGAGCUCCAGGAGAGGAAGAGAAAGGGGGAUUACAGCUGAAUUACUUUGACCAUGGACAGAGCCAACGUUUUCUACUCUCUCCCCCACACCCAGACUUCCCCCCUCCUUCCCUUCCCUGGAAAAAAAAAAAAACCCAACCACCCAGCGAAACAAGCAGCGCUUCUGCUAAACAGGAAGCCGAACAUCUCCUAGUACCUUCAAAUCCAUAUUAAGAGAUGAAAGGAGACAAAAGCGUUGCUGCCAGUCGGCUGCCGCGGGGCCCUGCUCGGAUUCUGAGCACUCAUGCAAAAAGUCUCUGUGCAGAGCAGGGAGAUGCUGACACACUUGUUAGCUUUGCCUAAAAGACAAUAAACACAAAGAUUGUCCUUUGGGGCAAAGGAGUGAGGAGCAAAACCUGGAAAACUCAAGGGGGUUUUGUGUGGGAAGCAAACUGCGGCUCAAUAAGAGGUUGCAAAAGAGUGAGACUGUGACAAAAUAGCGUCUGAAGCAACGGGAUCGAAAAAGCCUUCACGGAAAGGGCUCCUGCCCUGGGAGGCUGCUGGGACCUAAAGUACUUCCUGGAAUCUGGGGGCACAUAAAGGCCCAGGGAACAAAGCUUGGCCCUUGAAUCCUUGAGGCUGUGAAGCUUCGAGUCGGUCUGUUCCGAGAGGGAGGUGCCCUCAAAGGGGAGGUCCUGGGUGGACUGCUGCUCUUCAUGAGGGAGGCCAGAGGAUUGGAGCCAUGAACAGUGCCUCAUGGUGACUGCCAAUGCCAUAGUCCUGGCUGCUGAGUCGGCUGCAUCCAGAGCCACCUGGAGGGAGGUCCUCGCCACAGUUUUGCCCUCCUCUAGGAUAGCUGUGAACUUCUGCCUUGACUCCUGCAGAAAGGAGUCCUUAAAUUUGGACAAUGAGUCCCACAGAUUAAAAUUGUAGCUCCCCAGCAGUGCCUGCUGGUUGGAGAUACGUAACUAGAGACUAUCUGUCAAAUAAACCUUACGUUCAAAAAUG